CAAUCCCCACCCUACCCCACCAGUAUGGGCAGGACGACGGGUAUGCCUGCAACGUGGGGAGCAGCCCGGUCUGAGCUAAGCAGGUGCAGAGACAGUCUGAAGAGAGAAGCAGAGAGACACACACACAGAGUAUGAAGUAUGCUCUUGCUUCCUGAGUUGCUGGAAGGAAUUUAUCCACA
rnacentral:lncRNA from 11 species